AACCGGUGGAACCAGCAGGAACCCACCCCUGUGUUGGCAGAUCUGUUUUUUUAUUAUCUUUUCCAGUAUUUUCUCAGGUAUUGAUAUAAGAUUGAUUGGUAUGUAGUUUUCUGGAUCUGUUUUUUCCCCUUUUUUGAAGAUGGGAACCACAUCAGCUCUUUUCCAGUCCUCUGGUAGUUCCCUGGUGCUCCAGGAUUUGUGAAAGAUGUGGUACAGUGGUUGUAAGAUGACAUCUGCCAGCUCCUUUGGAACUCUGGGGUGUAAUCCGUCAGGUCCCAGUGAUAUGUAUUCAUCAAGCUUAGACAGAAGAUCCUUCCUUAGAUACCAUCCAUGGGAUGCUGGUGGCCAAUCUCUGCCACUCUCUGCUCAGGGAUUCCCAAGGUGCCCUACCUUCUAACCAUCAAGAUCCAUUUUGUCCUGGAUGAAAAUAAUUUUCCCUUGGAGAAAGAUUUCCAGCUGCUGGAGUUCCACUUCGACCUCUGAAGCAGCCACUUCUAAUGAGGUUCCCCACUUAAUAUCACAAUCACACAAAAAGUCGUAAAAUGGGGACGUGAAUGGAGGGGGGGGUGUUGUUUGUCUUGGAAUGAAAUUAAUUUUUAUAAAUACAUUUUGUACAAUUUGAAAGCAACGGUUCCUUCAGACGGUUAUUAAAAACUACUCAAAAGAUA